rnacentral:rRNA from 1 species
UGGGGAAUAUUGGGCAAUGGGCGAAAGCCUGACCCAGCAACGCCGCGUGAAGGAAGAAGGUCUUCGGAUCGUAAACUUCUAUCCCCGGUGAAGAUAAUGACGGUAACCGGGAAGGAAGCCCCGGCUAACUACGUGCCAGCAGCCGCGGUAAUACGUAGGGGGCAAGCGUUGUCCGGAAUGAUUGGGCGUAAAGGGCGCGUAGGCGGCUCGGUAAGUCUGGAGUGAAAUUCCUGCUUUCAAGGUGGGAACUGCUUUGGAUACUGUCGGGCUUGAGUGCAGGAGAGGUAAGUGGAAUUCCCGGUGUAGCGGUGAAAUGCGUAGAGAUCGGGAGGAACACCAGUGGCGAAGGCGACUUACUGGACUGUAACUGACGCUGAGGCGCGAAAGUGUGGGGAGCAAACA